UACGUAGGGUGCGAGCGUUAAUCGGACUUACUGGGCGUCAAGCGUGCGCAGGCGGUUUUGUAAGACAGAUGUGAAAUCCCCGGGCUUUACCUGGGAACUGCAUUUGUGACUGCAAGACUAGAGUACGGCAGAGGGGGGUAGAAUUCCACGUGGAGCAGUGAAAUGCGUAGAUAUGUGGAGGAAUACCGAUGGCGAAGGCAGCCCCCUGGGAUAACACUGACGCUCAUGUACGAAAGCGUGGGUAGCAAACAGG
rnacentral:rRNA from 1 species